rnacentral:lncRNA from 1 species
GCUGAGGAGAGAACCCGGGCAAUUCCCCGUGCGAUCUCCCCUCAAAAACACGAAAAUAAUAGUUUUAUUAAGAUGAUGGGUGACCUGCCAUGCAAGCGCACCUGUCAUGGCAAAGGUCGGAUGACAAAGAUAAUAAACAAGACCUCUCAGCCUCCUGGCCUUUUAGUCCCGGUAUAUAUAUCUUAUACAUCAUCCUCGUAAAUAAACCACACAGCUCCACCCCCUAUCUCCUUCCAUCGCUCCUUAAUCAAUCAACAAAAUCACAGCCCACGGUCACAUCAUCAAGCAACAGAGAUUCUGUAAUUGCUCUAUCGCCCCCGCCUUCAAAUGAAAUCUCGAAUCAUCUGCUGCUCAUACACCAACUGGAUAUAUCCUUCGAGAAUUAGAGCUUUUGAAACAGAGCUCCGCCGUAUCUACAAAACAAGAUCAAAUUAAUAGCUUAAUCAAUAAUCCGGAAACAGAAUUUAAAUCAUCUUUAGCCAAGAAACACGCAAUAAAAAUACUGAUACAUACCUCAGGAGCGAUCUCCGAUCAAAUAAGAUAACAGACCGUGAAAUCACGGUGUUGAACUUCGAUUAUCAAGUCUAAUAUCAGGAUAAAGAUCGCAGAGCGAUCUAGGUGGACCUGGAAUCCAAAAGAUCGAAGGGAAAUCCAUGAAGGGUAGAUCUGGGAAUACUGGAGCUGAACUCAUAACUCAUAAGGCAGAAAAAGCUGUAAGGCGGGUGUGCGGCUAUAUAGAGGCUCUGGGAGAAUAGACGGACAGGAUUAGUAGGUUAGCUGAAUGAUUAAGGGCUGAGAUUUAGUUUACGUGGUUGAGCUCUUACCUUGUUUGAAAAUUAGGUGUCGCUGAAGAGAUGGACAGCACAUUUGAGCUGGCGAGAUACGGGGUUUGUUUAUUUUCGGAAAAUUGUUUAGUUUAUAUUUUUUUAAAAAUCUUCUUGGUUUUUUGAUAAGUUUAUAUAUGCUUUUAUUGGUCAUUUAAAUUUUCUUUAAACUCAUUACAUCAAUCAAUUUAUAUUGUGUUAGCUCUUAUAUAAUUUGGUUAAAAACUCACGCCAUGUAAGGAAACAAGUCAAGGAAUUUCAAGAUUUAGCUGCUUACUCAGGUUCAAUAGCAUUGUAAAAAAAAAAUCCCCACACUCUCAAUGUUUCUUUAUGUUUAAAAAAAAAUUGGUUCAGUCUAUGAAAAAGUGUGCACGCUGAUGAACUAGUUACUAUUUAGCUUGAAAGUAUACUUGCCCAUCUAGCUCAUAAACAUAUAUUUUAGUUUUUUCACGUAGUUAUAAGAUAUCUGUAUUAGAGUUUUAAAACUCGGACCGGCCCGGCGGGUCGACCCGGGCCUGGGACCGGUCCGGGUUGAGGCAAAAACCCGCUCGAGAAUUGGCCCGGGGAAACCCGGUCGACCCGGGACCGGGUCCACCCGGCCAAACCCGGGUGAAACCCGGUCAAUUUUUUUUUAUUUUCACUGUCAUUAAACGACGUCGUUUUUUGCCAUCUAAAAUGUCAAAACGCUGAAGACUGAAGAUAAAAGAAGAACGAAGCAAUAAACCUAAUUAAUGUUACUCUUUGUCUUUGAAACUCAGCUGAGGAGCAGAGGAGCAGCGAACGUCUGACCAUUGAUCCCUGCAAAAAAGGUUUGAAUCUCCUUCUUUCACUCUCUGUUUUCUUUAUUCUUGGCCGUUUUCUCAUUUCUGGCAUCAAUUUCAAUUUCAGCCCAGAACCUCAAUUUCUGCGAUAAUCCUUCUUUCACUCGCUGCCAGUCACCUCAGCCCUCAGGUAUGUUUCUCUAACCCGAUUUCUGCAUCAAUUUCUGUCUUUUCUUCUGCCGGUCACCUCUGUUUCUAUAGCCUGAUUUCAAAUAGAACUGUGUUGUUUGCAUUCAAAAGCAUUAUUAAAAGUCCAAUCAUCUUUCUUAAAUGUUUUGCUAACUUCGUUAAAAUCCUUCUCAAUGUGCAGGAAGAGGACUUCAUUUAAUGGAUGCGAUUGAGGAAGGGCAAAGCUUGCAUGAGCAGUCAGAUGAAUCAGACCAUGAUAAAGUGGAGAAGGAAAGCGAUAACAUUGACCAGAAGAAGAAGAAGAGAAUGCAAAGAGCAUCAAUAGCCCGAUUUCAAGUUUCUCUAGCCCAGUUACCUCAGCCCUCAGUUUUUUUUUUUUGACCCGGGUCAACCCAUCUGACCCGUGACCCGAUCACUUGACCGGGUCAAUAACUAGGUUAAUGACCGGGUCGGAUUUCAAAACUAUGAUUUGUAUUCAAUUGAUUGGAAUUGAAAAUCUCAAAGGCUAUGCAUCACUUUACAAGAUCCAACCAUGCGUUUCAAAAUUUUUAAAUUUUUUUAAAAAGCUUUUUUUAAUAUUUUUUUAAUUAUUUUUAUAUGCUGAUAUCAAAAAUAAAUAAUUAUUUUAAAAAUUAUUUUAAUGUAUUUUCAAGUGAAAAAUACUUUGAAAAAUAAUUUUUAUCACAUUCUAUAAUAGACUUUUAAUUUGUAUUUGGAAAUACGUAGUUAAAUGUAAUAGUUUUUGUUUUAUAGAAUCUAAAUAAAAAAACAAGGAAAAACAUGUAAAACUUGAUUUGAGUGAUAACGCUUUAUGUAUUAAAAAGGUAGUACAUUAAAAAAAAAUAAAGUUAAAAAUAAUAGUGUUUAUUUUCUUUUUAUCUCAACUCUUUAAUUUUAUAAAAUUUCAAUUGGUGUUUGAAAAUAUGGGGUAACUCGUGUUUUUUUUUGAAAAAAAAAAUUUGUUAAAACUUUUUUUAUAUAUUUUGGAUUGUCUUGAUAUGCUAAUCUCAAAAAUAAUUUUUAAAAAUAAAAAAUAUAUUAUUUUAAUACAUUUUAGAAUAAAAAAUAUUUUAAAAAACAACCACAACCAUACUCCUAACUCUAAUUUUAUAAAAUAUUUUUGAUCACUAUACUAUUUUCUAAAACAAUUCCAAAUAUGAAGCCUCACCUAUUCCUUUACCUGCUGCUUACCUGAACAACAACUACGACUACGUAUGUAACGUUCUUCAACGCAACGCGUUUUUUUCGUCACCUAUUUUACUUGAGUUCUGUUUGUUUUUUUCAUCAAAAAUUAUAAUUUAUUAUAAUUUACAUCCUACCGAUUCAUAAUAUUUUACAUCUUUAUAUAUACUCAUAAAAAAAAUUAUUUAUAUAAUUGUCAUUAUAUUUUAUAAUCUUUGCAACAAUGUUGGAUUUGAACACAAAAUCAGUGGCGGCCCAUUCUCCUCACACGUUGUUAUUGGAACCUAAAAACAACUUGAAAAAUAAUGGGUUUUCGGUCGUGUUGAUGUUCGAGGUGUUCAUGUCUCUUUUAGGGAUAAUUUUGGCUGGGUCCGUUGAUAAUAUAAUUAAUAUUACCAAUAAAAUUAUAAACGAUGAGUUGAAUAUUUAAUAAUUUUUUUAGUCAAAAUCUAUCAGUAAUUAACAUUAAAGUGUUUUUUAGCACCCUCCAAAAAUUUUCAAAUCCAUUUCAUUCCAAUGAUUUGAACUUUUAGCGGUAAAUUCUUAUAAUUUUUUUUAACUCUGUGAAACUCUUCAAUUGACUUAGCUUAUUGAUAAUUAUAUCGGUAGUGAUAAAGUCUUGUAAAUUUUUUUAACCCUCUAGAACUCUUUGAGAGAUUUAAUCUGACAGUAAUAUUAUGGCGUGCACGGCGUCGAAUAACAAGUCUGCUCUCCCACACUGCCUUAUAAUUGCAAUUCUAUAGUGUAACAUUAUAAUUGCCUUGUAAUGUUACACUAUCAAUUUAAAUGAAAUAAAAUUAAUAUUCUAUAAUUAAAAAAAUUAUUAAAGUGAUUGGUUUUGAUCUUUUAUGAAAAAAUAAUUGCAAUUCUUUAUCUUGAUGAAAGAAUUUGUCCUUUUUUCAAUUUUCUAUUAGAAAACUCAAAAAGAUAAAAGAAAAAUUGUUCAUUUGUUUACCAAGAGGACGUUUGUUUGCCCGGAUAGUGGUUUUCUAGAAAUCAUUUUCCAAAAUUUUCUAUGUUUGGUCAACGGAAAACACUUUUCAGUCAGAAAAAUUUGGCUUGAUUUUCAGGAAAAUGUUUUCAUUUUAUUUUGGGACGGAAAACACUUUUCAGAAGUUGUGAAAAAAUUAAAAAUAUCAUAUUGUUUGCUGAUUAUAUCAAAUUUGAUCCUCAAACUUUUAAUUGAUAUAUAUUUUGUUUGAAUCCUUUUUUUUUCAAUUUCAUCCCUUAAAAUUUGAUUUAAUUUUAUUUUUGUAUUAAUUUUGAUCCUCAUUUUUAUGAUUGUUAUUUGCUUUUCUCUUAUUAUUAUUUUAAUUGAAAUUUUUUAUCUAUCAAAUUUAGUCAUCAUUCUUUUGAUUGUUAUUUAUUUUAUUUGAAAUAAGUUAUGAACUUGUAAUUAUUAUUAUUAUUUUAAUUUCAUGAUUUUUCAAUUUUUUUAUUUGUUAGAUUUGAUCCCCAUUAUUUUGAUUAUUAUUUAUUUUAUUUGAGAUAAUUUAUUAAAUUAGAUUUUUUUUAAUUUUAUUCUCAUUCAACUUUUUAAUUUGUAAGAUUUGUUCUUAUUAUUUUAAUAAACUUGAAGAAAAAAUAAAGCAUUAAUAAACUAUCUUCCAGCUUAUUUUUCAUAACAUAACCAAAUACUGGAAAGUAUUUUCCAUGACCCUACCAAACAUCAAGAAAUAAUUUACUUUUCAAUUUCUAUAUAACGAUUUUCAAAAAGUUCAAAUUUUAACCCUGACCCCAACAGUAUUUCAUAAAAAUUAAGUUUUUGUUUUUUUGACUUAAAGUUAAUUUUAAAAAAUUAAAAAAAUAUUAUUUUAAUAUAUUUAAAAAAACACAAUUUAAAAAAUAACUAAAACAGCGCUACCAUAACAACCGCUACCUGAAUCUUCAAUGUAAUCAAAGCACGUACGAUGAAUGAGUACCGUUAAUUCGUUUAUCAUCCUUAUGUUGAAAGCAAUCAAGGGAAUAUUUACACGAACCGCAAAACAAAUGUCUAUUUUUUUUGCUUUUUUAUGUAGAAUGAUAUAUUCAAGCAUUUUAACAGGAAUAUUUACUUGCACAAAAGCUAUAAAACAAAUCUGGCAGAAAGAAUUGAUAAUGCCCUUUAAAGGGUUCUUUAAAACUAUUACAUUUCAUUUAUUAUCAAAUUGAAUUUUAAAAAAAUAAGUAAAAAAUAUCCCUAUCAAUUAAGUAAAUUAAAUAAUUCUAUAACUACAACCUGAAAAAGUAUAACUCAAAUGGUCAUACUUUAAAUUUUUAAAAAUCACCACUUUAAAUACCAUUUAUCUCAGGGCAAUAUAAAACUUAUAUGAUCAUUAACUUCAGGGCCCGUAAAAUUAAUCGAAGUGCAUAAAAACAUCUAUCUUAAAGUAAAUUCUAAGACAAAAAGAUAAAAUGAACAAAAAAAAAACCACAGAAAAGAACGAACCACAUGAACUAAUAAGACCUGGGUGGAUUUGAACCACCAACUUCUCAAAACACCAUCAUAAUGGGACUUUGAGCGCUCUUACCAUUUUGAGCUUACAGAUCUUUUCAACAUUGAAGAGUGGCCUUCCAAAAAACAGCGAGUUGCGUUCCUUCUAUUUUCCUUUCGUCAUUUUUCAAUUUAAUCCACAAAUCCACCGCUACCUCGUUACCAAAUAAUUAUAUAUUAAAAUAAAAUAAUAAUAAUGAUUUAAUAAGGUCAGCAUAUUAAUUAUUAUUAGAUAUAGAAAAAUAUUAAAAUAAUAUUUUUUAUUUUUUAAAUUUUAUUUUCAAUACACACGAAAACAAUAAAAAGACAAAAAAUAAUUUAAAUUAAAAAAUCUUACAAAUUCUCAAAAGUGCUCUUUGACGUAAAAACCCAAUGGAAUGUAGAGAUAGUUUUUCCAGGACUGUAGUAGUAAAGAGAUCUUUGAUUUCAAGAUGAAACAUGACCACAACAAUUAUUAAUGGCAUUUUUAUAUGGCGCUUGGAUAAAAAGAAACAUCAGGUAAAAGAUGACAAUCACCCACCCCCUUGCUUUUGACAAAAUGUUUAAAGAAAUGAUCUAUAUGCCAUUGAAACCCUAACCAUUAACCAUGAUUUAAUGGUUGAAGUUACAAGCACAUUCAACACCUAGAACACAGCUCGUCGUCAACCCACCUGGGAUGGACCAUAAAAUGACUGGAACCAACAUCUUGUGCAUAUAUAAGAUAAAAGUGAAUUUACACAAAUGAUUUCUCCAACUCCUGUUAGAAAAUCGUGGUUUAAGAAACGCAAUUCUUGACUGCCAAAUUCAAGACUAUCAGGAUCGAUUGCAAACCUGACAAACAAGGAGAGAAAGAAGAUAACGAUAAAGCUUCGGACAUAAUACAUAAUUCCAGGAAAUGCUUCAAAAAGAAAGACCGCUUUCUUCUUCAAAUCGAUCAAAGGAAAGAUAACUCCACAUAUUUUCAACAAAACAGCUACGUCUAGAGAGCAAACACAUACAAGUAAAGCAAGAAAACACCGUCAGAUAAAACAUCUCGAACUAAUGUCAAAGCUUGAGAAAACAAGGCAUUUCCAGCUUCCAAAAACUAGCAUUAUGACGACUAGAACGAGGUCUGUAUCUAAUAUAUUAAUGUCCAACUGCAAAUUGCAUUAAGACAACCUCAAACUAAAUUAAUCAAAAAGUAGCAACGCAAAUCUUGAACCAUUGAGAAAAACUUGAUCACCUCAAUAGCUGAUUUAGCGUGAUGCAGCUUCAUAAAGAAUGUUGUGAAGGGUCCUGCGCUCUCUCUUUUUCACUAAAAGCCAUGGUCAUUGAAGUCAAGCAGCCCAACAAUCAUCCAAUGGGGUCUACAGAUCCCAUCUUCAACACCACAAUCUUCAGGCUACAUCACUUGAGAUCCAAUGAACCAAACAACAGGAGCCAGUUGCAAAUAACAAUACAGAGUAGAAACACUUGAAAACAGCUCCAGGGUAGGGAUAUCACAGGGCACAAUAUUCUAAUUUACAUACUUGAAAACCAGAUCUUAAUUGUAAAUAGCGAAAGCAAAGCUGUUUAUACAAUAGUUUUGCACAGGAUAACAGGAAAAGGAAACCGAUUAACUAGAUCCAAAUAACAAACCUCAUGCCCAUGGUUGGUUUGUAAGAAUCACAGAUAUGCUUAGGUUGCGUUUGCAGUGGUCGCGUUGUUAAUGAAAUAAACUUGAUUGUUACCACGCAAUAACGGGUUGUUGUAGGGAGCAAGUGCUUUCGUGUAUUACAGACUAAAAAAUGAACCCUGAUAAAUCAAACCUAAGAUUCAGUACCUCUUAGUUUUGGUGCUAUAUAGUAACUGCCAAUCUUGCGUUGAAACCAGUUUUGGUUGCAUUAUCUUGAUAGCCCACUGUAUCAAAGAUUUAUAUUUGACGGGGCCAAAUAUCCGAUAAGAGAUGAAAAACAGGUUGCAAUGAUAAUAAUAAAAAAAACAAUAUGAUUCUUUUUUUUUUAUGUUUGUUCUAAGUCUUGGAAAUAUGACUGGCUGUUUCUAAAAAUAAGAAAUUCGUAUUGGAGUUAUAAAAGAGAGAAUACCUUGGAGUCAGCUUCACAAAUUGCAACAUUGUGCAGAAGAUGUGAAUUGAUUGCUAAGCUGGAGUUGGAGUGCCUCGUGAAAGGGCAGCGCGAUCUCAGGCAAGGAUCGUAAGUCAACGAGAAGUAAGAGAAAGCGGGACACGGACAGCAGAGGGGAGAACCCGGGCAAUUCACCGUGCGAUCUCCCCUCAAAAACACGAAAAUAAUAGUUUUAUUAAGAUGAUGGGUGACCUGCCAUGCAAGCGCACCUGUCAUGGCAAAGGUCGGAUGACAGAUAAUAAACAAGACCUCUCAGCCUCCUGGCCUUUUGGUCCCGAUAUAUGUAUCUUAUACAUCAUCCUCAUAAACAAAACACACAGCCCCACCCCUUAUCUCCUUCCAUCA